ACAUUGUGAUACAAUGGAGUUAAAUUAAACGUUUAUUUUGUAUUUUUAUCUCAAAACGUAUUCUUGUUUUAUAUUUACUAUCUUUGAUACAUCGUUUUUCUGUACCUACCUUCUGUACUAGUUUCUGUAUCUACGUCAUAUAUCGAAUGUUUUUAGUUACAUUGAAUUCUGGGUUAUUAACUCAACUACGCUUAUAGGGUGAUGUUUUUAUCGUGAAUCAACAAGGGAUGGAUAGCAGUCAUAUCAUAUUCAUAUAUUUAUAUAUGUUUAGAUAUUCAUUCCGUAAGUUCAUCGGUUUAAAUGUUAAACUAUAACAUUUAAGCUUUAUCAUGUGAACAAUAAGUUCAAUAUGAGUGUUACGCAACAAAAUUUUACAAAAACUAUUU